rnacentral:rRNA from 1 species
UACGUAGGGUGCAAGCGUUACUCGGAAUUACUGGGCGUAAAGCGUGCGCAGGCGGCUUUGCAAGACAGAUGUGAAAUCCCCGGGCUUAACCUGGGAACUGCAUUUGUGACUGCAUGGCUGGAGUGCGGCAGAGGGGGAUGGAAUUCCGCGUGUAGCAGUGAAAUGCGUAGAGAUGCGGAGGAACACCGAUGGCGAAGGCAGCCCCCUGGGUCGACACUGACGCUCAGGCACGAAAGCGUGGGGAGCAAACAGG